rnacentral:misc_RNA from 1 species
AACGCACCUUGCGCUCCUUGGUAUUCCGAGGAGCAUGCCUGUUUGAGUGUCAUAAAACUCUCAACUCCUAAUGGUUUUUUCGGAAACUGUUAGUUGAUGUUGGAUUUGAAUGUUGCUGGCUUUCGAGUCGGCUCGUUCGAAAUGUAUUAGCUGGUUCCCUCUUUAAUUUGGUUCCACUCGGCGUGAUAAGUAUCUUCGUCGAGGACAGUUGACUUCGGUUGGCUGGCCAGAAUAGAUUGGUUGAGCUGCUUCUAAUCCUUUCUUUGUACUUCGGUAUAUUGAAAACUUUUAUGCUCUGGCCUCAAAUCAGGUAGGAUUACCCGCUGAACUUAA